rnacentral:tRNA from 1 species
GGAGAGGUGUCCGAGUGGUUUAAGGAGCCGGUCUUGAAAACCGGUGAUCCCGCGAGGGACCGUGGGUUCGAAUCCCACCCUCUCCGCCA